rnacentral:rRNA from 1 species
AACGAACGCUGGCGGCAGGCCUAACACAUGCAAGUCGAGCGCACCUUCGGGUGAGCGGCGGACGGGUGAGUAUCGCGUGGGAACGUGCCCUUCUCUACGGAAUAGUCCUGGGAAACUGGGGGUAAUACCGUAUACGCCCUAUUGGGGAAAGAUUUAUCGGAGAAGGAUCGGCCCGCGUUGGAUUAGGUAGUUGGUGGGGUAAUGGCUCACCAAGCCGACGAUCCAUAGCUGGUUUGAGAGGAUGAUCAGCCACACUGGGACUGAGACACGGCCCAG